rnacentral:rRNA from 1 species
UUAAGCCUACGGGGGGCAGCAGUGGGGAAUAUUGGGCAAUGGGCGCAAGCCUGACCCAGCAACGCCGCGUGAAGGAAGAAGGCUUUCGGGUUGUAAACUUCUUUUAUGAGGGACGAAAGAAAUGACGGUACCUCAUGAAUAAGCCACGGCUAACUACGUGCCAGCAGCCGCGGUAAUACGUAGGGGGCAAGCGUUAUCCGGAUUUACUGGGUGUAAAGGGCGGGUAGGCGGGACUGCAAGCCAGAUGUGGAAAUUAUGGGCUCAACCCAUAACCU